AGUAAUAUUUCGGACCUUAUAGAGAGAUGACACGUCUACCAGCUCAAUAUUGCAGUAUCAAUAGAAUCCUAUUACUCAUUCUCGGCUUAUGGCCUUACCAACAAUCUAAAUUUACUCGAUUUCAGUUCAUUUUCUUCUAUGCUAUUCUGUCAGGGGGUAUCAUAUUUCAGCUAACACCGUUAAUAACAUUAACAUGUACUUCGGACCUUAUUAUCAAGGU